GGGGGGAUAGAUGAGACAACAAUAACAAUAACAAUAAUAAUAGUAAUCCAUAAUAACAUCUGCUAAAUAUAAAAACUAUACAAAGACCUUAGGAUAGUUUUUCUUCCCCAUAUAUCAAUGCAUAUAUAACGGCCUUGAUUUUUCCAAAAGAAAAAGCUUCCCCCCGAAAAAGAGAUUCUACUCUUCACCCCCCAUUACCUUCGGUGAUAAAAUAUUUACAGAGAAAAGCUACCAUUCUUGCUUUGCUUAAUUGCUUCCCCAAAAUAAAUCUUCACCCGUUCCUCCCCCAAUUUGAAAUAACUCCAAUUCCACCCC
rnacentral:lncRNA from 1 species